rnacentral:rRNA from 1 species
UACGUAGGGGGCUAGCGUUGUCCGGAUUUAUUGGGCGUAAAGAGCGUGUAGGCGGCCAAGUAGGUCCGGUGUGAAAACUCGAGGCUUAACCUCGAGAUGUCAUCGGAAACCAUUUGGCUAGAGUCCGGAAGAGGAAAGUGGAAUUCCUGGUGUAGCGGUGAAAUGCGCAGAUAUCAGGAAGAACACCGGUGGCGAAGGCGGCUCGCUGGGCCAGAUCCGACACUCAUCCGCGAAAGCGUGGGGAGCAAACAGG